rnacentral:rRNA from 1 species
CAGUCGCCGCGGUAAUACGAAGGGGGCUAGCGUUGCUCGGAAUUACUGGGCGUAAAGAGUGUGUAGGCGGUGCUCUAAGUUCGGUGUGAAAUCUCCCGGCUUAACUGGGAGGGUGCGCCGGAAACUGGAAUGCUCGAGCGUGGGAGAGGAAAGCGGAAUUCCUGGUGUAGCGGUGAAAUGCGUAGAUAUCAGGAGGAACACCUGUGGUGUAGACGGCUUUCUGGACCAUAGCUGACGCUGAGACACGAAAGCGUGGGUAGCAAACAGGAUUAGAGACCCCGGUAGUCCCUGUCUCUUAUAC